rnacentral:rRNA from 1 species
GUGUCAGCCGCCGCGGUAAUACGUAGGUGGCAAGCGUUGUCCGGAUUUAUUGGGCGUAAAGGGAGCGCAGGCGGUGACUUAAGUCUGAUGUGAAAGCCCACGGCUCAACCGUGGAAGGUCAUUGGAAACUGGGUCACUUGAGUGCAGAAGAGGAAAGUGGAAUUCCAUGUGUAGCGGUGAAAUGUGUAGAUAUAUGGAGGAACACCAGUGGCGAAGGCGACUUUCUGGUCUGUAACUGACGCUGAGGCUCGAAAGCGUGGGGAGCAAACAGGAUUAGAAACCCCCGUAGUCC